rnacentral:rRNA from 1 species
AACGAACGCUGGCGGCAUGCUUAACACAUGCAAGUCGAACGAAGGCCCUGGCUUGCCAGGUUACCUUAGUGGCGCACGGGUGAGUAACGCGUGGGAACCUGCCCAGGAGUGGGGAAUAACUAUUGGAAACGAUAGCUAAUACCGCAUAUUUCCUGAGGGAGAAAGGCUCCAGUCUUUAGGGAUUGGUGCCGCUUUUGGAUGGUCCCGCGUCUGAUUAGCUUGUUGGUAGGGUAACGGCCUACCAAGGCGACGAUCAGUAGCUGGUCUGAGAGGAUGAUCAGCCACACUGGGACUGAGACACGGCCCAG